rnacentral:rRNA from 1 species
GAUCAUUACAAAUCGUGUCUUUUAGACAUUUACGCUUUUUUGUUUGACAGAUACAUCUAUUGCCAUAAUAAAGACAACUUUUAACAAUGGAUCUCUUGGCUCUUGCAUCGAUGAAGAACGCAGUAAAGUGCGAAAUGUAGUGCGAUUUGCAUGAAUCUGUGAGUCAUCUAAUCUUUGAACGCAACUUGCGCCCCUCGGGGCAUGUCUGUUUGAGCGCCGCAUCAUCAUAGUUGGCCCUGCCGCUGGCUUGGCUGAAAUGCAGUGUAAAAUUCAUGAGCCAAGCUUUCAUGAAUACUACUACUACUCUAUUUAUUUGGCCUCAAAUCAGGCAAGACUACCCGCUGAACUUAAGCAUAUCAAUAAGCGGAGG